rnacentral:misc_RNA from 1 species
GAAAUGCGAUAAGUAAUGUGAAUUGCAGAAUUCAGUGAAUCAUCGAAUCUUUGAACGCAUCUUGCGCUCCUUGGUAUUCCAUGGAGCAUGCCUGUUUGAGUGUCACGUAAACCCUCACCCUUGCGAUGUAACAGUCGCCCGUGGUGGACUUGGACUGUGCCGUAACCGGCUCGUCUUGAAAUGCAUUAGCUGGCGCUUUUAGAGUGCUGGGCGACGGUGUGAUAAUUAUCUGCGCCAGUGCCUUAGGCCUCUUCAGCGGUGCUGCUUACAGCCGUCCCUCUGUGGACACAUUAUUUUUUAAAGCUUUGGCCUCAAAUCAGGUAGGACUACCCGCUGAACUUAA